GACAGAGGGUGCAAACGUUGUUCGGAGUUACUGGGCGUAAAGCGCGUGUAGGCGGCGGUGCAAGUCGGGUGUGAAAGCCCUGGGCUCAACCCAGGAAGUGCAUUCGAUACUGCGCUGCUAGAGUCCCGGAGAGGAUGGUAGAACUCUCGGUGUAGAGGUGAAAUUCGUAGAUAUCGAGAAGAACACCGGUGGCGAAGGCGGCCAUCUGGACGGUGACUGACGCUGAGACGCGAAAGCGUGGGGAGCAAACAGG
rnacentral:rRNA from 1 species